ACGAACGCUGGCGGCGUGCUUAACACAUGCAAGUCGCACGGAAAGGCCCUGCUUUUGUGGGGUGCUCGAGUGGCGAACGGGUGAGUAACACGUGAGUAACCUGCCCUUGACUUUGGGAUAACUUCAGGAAACUGGGGCUAAUACCGGAUAGGAGCUCCUGCUGCAUGGUGGGGGUUGGAAAGUUUCGGCGGUUGGGGAUGGACUCGCGGCUUAUCAGCUUGUUGGUGGGGUAGUGGCUUACCAAGGCUUUGACGGGUAGCCGGCCUGAGAGGGUGACCGGCCACAUUGGGACUGAGAUACGGCCCAGACUCCUACGGGAGGCAACAGUGGGGAAUAUGGCACAAUGGGCGGAAGCCUGAUGCAGCAACGCCGCGUGCGGGAUGACGGCCUUCGGGUUGUAAACCGCUUUCGCCUGUGACGAAGCGUGAGUGACGGUAAUGGGUAAAGAAGCACCGGCUAACUACGU
rnacentral:rRNA from 1 species